rnacentral:rRNA from 1 species
UCCGCCAGGGUACUACAAGCGUAGCUUGAAACCCAAAGGACUUGACGGUGUCUCAGACCCACCUAGAGGAGCCUGUUCUAGAACCGAUAUUCCUCGUUAAACCUCACCACCCCUUGUCUCCACAGCCUAUAUACCGCCGUCGCAAGCUUACCCUGUGAAGGAUCAACAGUAAGCAAAAUGGAUAAUGUCCAAAACGUCAGGUCGAGGUGUAGCUUACGGGGUGGGAAGAAAUGGGCUACAUUUUCUGACUUAGAAUAAACGAACGGCAUUAUGAAAUUAAUCCCUAACGGUGGAUUUAGAAGUAAAAA